rnacentral:rRNA from 1 species
CCUACGGGAGGCAGCAGUGAGGAAUAUUGGUCAAUGGGCGCGAGCCUGAACCAGCCAAGUAGCGUGAAGGAUGACUGCCCUACGGGUUGUAAACUUCUUUUAUAAAGGAAUAAAGUGAGGCACGUGUGCCCUUUUGUAUGUACUUUAUGAAUAAGGAUCGGCUAACUCCGUGCCAGCAGCCGCGGUAAUACGGAGGAUCCGAGCGUUAUCCGGAUUUAUUGGGUUUAAAGGGAGCGUAGAGGGGUUGUUAAGUCAGUUGUUAAAGUUUGAGGCUCAACCGUAAAAUUGCAAUUGAUAAUGGCAGUCUUGAGUACGGAUGAGGUAUGCGGAAUGCCUGGUGUAGCGGUGAAAUGCAUAGAUAUCAGGAGGAACCCCGGUGGCGAAGGCGGCCUGCUGGACUGCAACUGACGUUGAGGCCCGAAAGCGUGGGGAGCGAACAGGAUUAGAUACCCCUGUAGUC